rnacentral:rRNA from 1 species
AUUGAACGCUGGCGGCAGGCCUAACACAUGCAAGUCGAACGAGUGGCGGACGGGUGAGUAAUGUCUGGGAAACUGCCUGAUGGAGGGGGAUAACUACUGGAAACGGUAGCUAAUACCGCAUACCAUCAGAUGUGCCCAGAUGGGAUUAUCUUGUUGGUGGGGUAACGGCUCACCAAGGCGAAGAUCCCUAGAUGGUCUGAGAGGAUGACCCGCCACAAUGGAAAGUAGACACGGUCCAGACUCCUACGGGAGGCAGAAGUGGGGAAUUUUGCUCCAUGGGCGCAAUCCUGAUGCAGCCAUGCCGCGUGUAUGAUGAAGGCCUUCGGGUUGUAAAUUACUUUCAGCGUGGAGGCGUUACCCGCAGAAGAAGCACCGGCUAACUCCGUGCCAGCAGCCGCGGUAAUAC